UUUCCUUCACCCUGUAUCGCUCAUAUCAUUGCCGAAUACUAAUCUCCACUGCAACAUUUUCGUCGUCUUCGGCUCAUGAGACGUGAGCUCGCCGCGCCUGAGCUACGAGCUCCGAGCCUGAGCUUCGCCCGCUUGAAACUGCAGAAAAUUUGAAGUGACGAGCUCGCCGCGCCUGCUUGCGAGCGUCAGGCCUGAGCUACGAGCUCUGAGCCUGAGCUACGAGCUCUUAGCCUGAGCUACGAGCUCCGAGCCUGAGCUUCGCCCGCUUUAAACUGCAGAAAAUUUGAAGCUCAUGUCACGUGAGCUCGCCGCACCGGGCUGAGUCGACCUACGCGAGAGCUGCGAGCUCCGAGCCUGAGCUGCGAGCUCGAACCUGAGCGUCCGCCCGCUUCAAGCUGCAGACAAC